rnacentral:siRNA from 1 species
CAGGUAGUCUCGGAACAAUCAGGU